rnacentral:tRNA from 1 species
GACUGGAUAGCCUAGUGGUCAAAGGCAGUGCAUCUAGCAGUGUCUCAGCUUAUGAUGAGGUCCCAGGUUUGAAUCCUGGUCUAGUCA